AACGAACGCUGGCGGCAGGCUUAACACAUGCAAGUCGAGCGCCCCGCAAGGGGAGCGGCAGACGGGUGAGUAACGCGUGGGAAUCUACCCAUCUCUACGGAAUAACGCAUGGAAACGUGUGCUAAUACCGUAUACGUCCUUCGGGAGAACGAUUUAUCCGGAGAUGGGUGAGCCCGCGUUGGAUUAGCUAGUUGGUGGGGUAAAGGCCUACCAAGGCGACGAUGCAUAGCUGGUCUGAGAGGAUGAUCAGCCACACUGGGACGGAGACACGGCCCAGACUCCUACGAGAGUCAGCAGUGGGGAAGAUUGGACAAUGGGCGCAAGCCUGAUCCAGCCAUGCCGCGUGAGAGAUGAAGGCCCUAGGGUUGUAAAGCUCUUUCACCGGUGAAGAUAAUGACGGUAACCGGAGAAGAAGCCCCGGCUAACUUCGUGCCAGCCGCCGCGGUAAAAC
rnacentral:rRNA from 1 species